rnacentral:rRNA from 1 species
GAGUUUGAUCCUGGCUCAGAACGAACGCUGGCGGCAGGCCUAACACAUGCAAGUCGAGCGCGAAAGUCCUUCGGGGCAAGUAGAGCGGCGGACGGGUGAGUAAUGCUUGGGAAUCUACCUAGUAGUGGGGGAUAACGUGUGGAAACGCACGCUAAUACCGCGUACGUCCUACGGGAGAAAGCAGGGGAUCUUCGGACCUUGUGCUAUUGGAUGAGCCCAAGUCGGAUUAGCUAGUUGGUAAGGUAACGGCUUACCAAGGCAACGAUAUCUAGGGGGUCUGAGAGGAUGAUCCCCCACACUGGUACUGAGACACGGACCAGACUCCUACGGGAGGCAGCAGUGAGGAAUAUUGGUCAAUGGACGAAAGUCUGAACCAGCCAUGCCGCGUGUAGGAUGAAUGCCCUAUGGGUUGUAAACUACUUUUAUAUAGGAAGAAACCUCUUUAUUUAUAAAGAGCUGACGGUACUAUAAGAAUAAGCAUCGGCUAACUCCGUGCCAGCAGCCGCGGUAAUACGGAGGAUGCAAGCGUUAUCCGGAUUUAUUGGGUUUAAAGGGUUCGUAGGCGGAAAAUUAAGUCAGUGGUGAAAGCCUGCAGCUCAACUGCAGAACUGCCAUUGAUACUGAUUUUCUUGAAUUUAUAUGAAGUGGGCGGAAUGCGUCAUGUAGCGGUGAAAUGCACAGAUAUGACGCAGAACACCAAUUGCGAAGGCAGCUCACUAAUGUAAUAUUGACGCUAAGGAACGAAAGCAUGGGGAGCGAACAGGAUUAGAUACCCUGGUAGUCCAUGCCGUAAACGAUGAUUACUCGAUAUUAGUCUAACUAGUGUCUAAGCGAAAGUGAUAAGUAAUCCACCUGGGGAGUACGAUCGCAAGAUUGAAACUCAAAGGAAUUGACGGGGGCCCGCACAAGCGGAGGAGCAUGGGGUUUAAUUCGAUGAUACGCGAGGAACCUUACCUGGGCUUAAAUGUGACCGGACAAGCUGUGAAAACAGCCUUUCUUCGGACUGGUCUCAAGGUGCUGCAUGGUUGUCGUCAGCUCGUGCCGUGAGGUGUCGGGUUAAGUCCCAUAACGAGCGCAACCCCUACUUCUAGUUGCCAUCAUUAAGUUGGGCACUCUGAAAGAACUGCCAGUGAUAAGCUGGAGGAAGGUGGGGAUGACGUCAAGUCCUCAUGGCCCUUACGUGUUGGGCUACACACGUGCUACAAUGAUAUUUACAACAGGAAGCAAAACGGCGACGUUAAGCAAAUCCUUAAAAAAUAUCUCAGUUCGGAUUGCACUCUGCAACUCGAGUGCAUGAAGCUGGAAUUACUAGUAAUCGUGGAUCAGCGUGCCACGGUGAAUGCGUUCCCGGGUCUUGUACACACCGCCCGUCACACCAUGGGAGUUGGUUCUACCUUAAGGCAAGGUUUAAAAUCCUUGACCACGGUAUAGUCAGCGACUGGGGUGAAGUCGUAACAAGGUAACC